rnacentral:lncRNA from 1 species
GGAGACACUGGACUCAAAAUAAUCAGGUGGGGUAUUACAUUAUGUUUUCUCCUUUUUAAUAAGGUGAGCCAUUUGAAGUGCUUUGCAGCUGAAGUUAAGACCGGAAAAAAAGUCAAUUCAAGCCAGAAGAAGGAAGGUGUCUUUACUGUGAGAGUCUAUUAGAGCUCUUAGAGGUAAGUCAGAAAAUGUGGGUUCUUCCCCCUGAUGGCUCCCCCACCCCGAGAUCUUAACUCUCAGAUCUGCCCAC